rnacentral:rRNA from 1 species
AUUGAACGCUGGCGGCAUGCCUAACACAUGCAAGUCGAACGCGAAAGCGGGGUAACCCGCGAGUAGAGUGGCGAACGGGUGCGUAACGCGUAGGAAUCUACCCACCAGUGGGGAAUAACCUAGCGAAAGCUGGGCUAAUACCGCAUACGUCCUACGGGAGAAAGCGGGGGACCCUUUCGGGCCUUGCGCUGGUGGAUGAGCCUACGUCCGAUUAGCUAGUUGGUAGGGUAAUGGCCUACCAAGGCGAUGAUCGGUAGCUGGUCUGAGAGGACGACCAGCCACACUGGGACUGAGACACGGCCCAGACUCCUACGGGAGGCAGCAGUGGGGAAUCUUGGGCAAUGGGGGAAACCCUGACCCAGCAAUGCCGCGUGGGUGAAGAAGGCCUUCGGGUUGUAAAGCCCUUUUGGCAGGGAAGAAAAGGGUUCGGCUAAUACCCGGAUCUCUUGACGUUACCUGCAGAAAAAGUACCGGCUAACUCUGUGCCAGCAGCCGCGGUAAGACAGAGGGUGCGAGCGUUAAUCGGAAUUACUGGGCGUAAAGCGUGCGCAGGCGGUUCGUUAAGUCAAGCGUGAAAUCCCGGAGCUCAACUUCGGAACUGCACUUGAUACUGACGGGCUAGAGUAUGGUAGA